UGGGAAAUAUUGGACAAUGGGCGAAAGCCUGAUCCAGCAAUGCCGCGUGUGUGAAGAAGGUCUUCGGAUUGUAAAGCACUUUCGACGGGGACGAUGAUGACGGUACCCGUAGAAGAAGCCCCCGGNUAACUUCGUGCCAG
rnacentral:rRNA from 1 species